rnacentral:rRNA from 1 species
UUUCCGGUUGAUCCUGCCGCCGGCCACCGCUAUCAAGUUCCGACUAAGCCAUGCGAGUCAAGGUAUCGUAAGAUGCCGGCAAACUGCUCAGUAACACGUGGAUAAUCUAACCUUGAGUAAGGGAUAACCUCGGGAAACUGAGGAUAAUACCUUAUAAUUGCUUAAAACUGGAAUGUUUAAGCAAUAAAAGUUCCGACGCUCAAGGAUGAGUCUGCGACCUAUCAGGUAGUAGGUGGUGUAAUGGACCACCUAGCCUCAGACGGGUACGGGCCCUGGGAGGGGUAGCCCGGAGAUGGACUCUGAGACAUCAGUCCAGGCCCUACGGGGCGCAGCAGGCGCGAACACUGUGCAAUGCGCGAAAGCGCGACACGGGGAGCUUGAGUGUCUUGGCAUAGCCAAGACUUUUCUCAUUCCUAAAAAGCAUGAGGAAUAAGUGCUGGGUAAGACGGGUGCCAGCCGCCGCGGUAACACCCGCAGCACAAGUGGUGGUCACUUUUAUUGAGCCUAAAGCGUUCGUAGCCGGUUUUGUAAAUCUUUAGAUAAAGCCUGAAGCUUAACUCCAGAAAGUCUGAAGAGACUGCAAGACUUGAAAUCGGGUGAGGUUAAACGUACUUUCAGGGUAGGGGUAAAAUCCUGUAAUCCCGGAAGGACGACCAGUGGCGAAAGCGUUUAACUAGAACGAAUCUGACGGUAAGGAACGAAGGCUAGGGUAGCAAACCGGAUUAGAUACCCGGGUAGUCCUAGCUGUAAACACUGCCCAUUUGAUGUUGCUUUUCCGUUGAGGGAAGGCAGUGUCGGAGCGAAGGUGUUAAAUGGGCCGCUUGGGAAGUAUGGUCGCAAGACUGAAACUUAAAGGAAUCGGCGGGGGAGCACCGCAACGGGAGGAAUGUGCGGUUUAAUUGGAUUCAACGCCGGA